ACCACGGAGAGCGCCCGGAGGAGCCGCGCCGGGCCGGGCCGGGCCGGGCCCCGCGGCCGCGCUGAGCCGGGCGGGGGGCACCUGAGCCGGGGGGCGCUGGCGAGGGGGGCCCGGUAGGUCCGGGCCGGCCGUGGAUGAGCACCAUGCGGCUGCUGCUGCUCGCCCUGCUCUUCUCGUCCUCCUUCGCCCGCGCAGGCUGCGACCCCAAGAUCGUCAACAUCGGCGCGGUGCUGAGCACCAAGAAGCACGAGCAGAUCUUCCGCGAGGCGGUGAACCAGGCCAACAAGCGGCACGGCACAUGGAAGCUCCAGCUCAACGCCACCUCGGUCACGCACAAGCCCAACGCCAUCCAGAUGGCCCUUUCCGUCUGCGAGGACCUCAUCUCCAGCCAGGUCUAUGCAAUAUUAGUUAGUCACCCUCCUGCUCCCAACGAUCACCUAACACCAACACCCGUAUCAUACACAGCUGGCUUCUACAGGAUCCCUGUCAUUGGUCUGACAACACGCAUGUCUAUAUAUUCUGAUAAGAGCAUCCACCUCUCCUUUUUGCGCACGGUCCCACCAUACUCUCACCAGGCCAACGUCUGGUUUGAGAUGAUGAGAGUCUUCAACUGGAACCACGUCAUUCUGAUAGUCAGUGACGACCACGAAGGUCGUGCUGCACAAAAGAAGCUGGAGACGCUCUUGGAGGAGAGAGAGUCCAAGAGUAAAAAAAGGAACUAUGAAAACCUCGACCAACUUUCCUAUGACAACAAGCGAGGACCCAAGGCUGAGAAAGUGCUUCAGUUUGACCCAGGAACCAAAAAUGUGACAUCGCUGCUGCUGGAGGCAAAGGAGCUGGAGGCUCGAGUCAUCAUCCUCUCUGCCAGUGAGGAUGAUGCGGCCAUGGUGUACAGAUCAGCAGCCAUGCUCAAUAUGACGGGCUCCGGCUACGUGUGGCUGGUGGGGGAACGGGAGAUAUCAGGCAAUGCCCUGCGUUACGCCCCUGACGGAGUGAUCGGUUUGCAGCUCAUCAAUGGGAAGAACGAGUCAGCCCACAUCAGUGAUGCUGUCGCAGUGGUGGCCCAGGCUGUGCAUGACUUGUUUGAGAAGGAGAACAUCACAGACCCACCGCGGGGCUGCGUAGGCAACACCAACAUCUGGAAGACGGGACCCCUUUUCAAGAGGGUGUUGAUGUCCUCCAAGUACUCGGAGGGUGUCACUGGCCGGGUGGAGUUCAAUGAGGAUGGGGACAGAAAGUUUGCCAACUACAGCAUCAUGAACCUGCAGAAUCGGAAACUGGUCCAAGUUGGGAUUUACAAUGGCAGCCAUGUCUUGACCAAUGACAGGAAGAUAAUCUGGCCAGGGGGAGAAACAGAGAAACCUCAAGGCUAUCAGAUGUCAACCAAGUUGAAGAUCGUGACGAUCCACCAAGAGCCCUUUGUGUAUGUGAAGCCCACACAAGCAGAUGGGACAUGCAGGGAGGAAUUCACCAUCAAUGGAGAUCCUGUGAAAAAGGUUUUUUGCACUGGACCCAAUGAGACCAUCCCAGGCCGCCCCACAGUGGCACUGUGCUGCUACGGGUUCUGCAUCGACUUGCUCAUCCGGCUGGCAGGGGUGAUGAACUUCACCUACGAGGUUCACCUGGUGGCUGAUGGUAAAUUUGGUACCCAAGAGCGGGUUAACAACAGCAACAAGAAGGAGUGGAACGGGAUGAUGGGUGAGCUGCUGAGUGGACAAGCAGACAUGAUUGUGGCUCCCCUCACCAUCAACAACGAGCGAGCACAGUACAUUGAGUUCUCCAAGCCCUUCAAGUACCAGGGCCUCACCAUUCUUGUGAAGAAGGAAAUCCCCCGCAGCACCUUGGACUCGUUCAUGCAGCCUUUCCAGAGCACGCUGUGGCUGCUGGUGGGGCUCUCUGUGCACGUGGUGGCAGUGAUGUUGUACCUCUUAGACCGAUUCAGCCCAUUUGGCCGGUUCAAAGUGAACAGCGAGGAGGAGGAGGAAGAUGCCCUGACCCUGUCCUCGGCCAUGUGGUUCUCCUGGGGAGUCCUGCUGAACUCUGGCAUUGGAGAAGGUGCUCCCCGAAGUUUCUCUGCCCGUAUUCUUGGCAUGGUGUGGGCUGGCUUUGCUAUGAUCAUUGUGGCUUCAUACACUGCCAACCUGGCAGCCUUCCUGGUGUUAGACAGGCCUGAGGAGAGAAUUACGGGCAUCAACGACCCCCGGCUGCGCAACCCCUCUGAUAAGUUCAUCUACGCCACGGUGAAGCAGAGCUCGGUGGACAUCUACUUCCGACGGCAGGUGGAGCUGAGCACCAUGUACCGGCACAUGGAGAAGCACAACUACGAGAGCGCUGCCGAGGCCAUCCAGGCAGUGAGGGACAACAAGCUCCACGCCUUCAUCUGGGACUCGGCGGUGCUGGAGUUUGAGGCCUCCCAGAAGUGUGACCUGGUGACAACGGGGGAGCUUUUCUUCCGCUCCGGCUUCGGGAUCGGGAUGCGCAAGGACAGCCCAUGGAAGCAGAACGUCUCCCUGGCCAUCCUCAAGUCCCAUGAGAACGGCUUCAUGGAGGAUUUGGACAAGACUUGGGUGAGGUAUCAGGAGUGUGACUCCCGUAGCAAUGCCCCAGCAACACUCACCUUUGAAAAUAUGGCAGGUGUGUUUAUGCUGGUGGCUGGAGGUAUUGUUGCCGGGAUAUUUUUAAUAUUCAUAGAAAUAGCUUACAAAAGGCAUAAGGACGCGCGGAGGAAGCAGAUGCAGCUGGCGUUUGCGGCCGUUAAUGUGUGGAGGAAAAACCUGCAGAGAGAACUGAGAAGGAGGAGCAAAUGUAUCCCCGAGCAUGCUCUACGCACCAGCGGGAUACAUUUUGGUUACCCCCGUGCGGUAGCAGAGCCAGACCUGGUCACUCCGUCCCCCGUCGGAAAGGUCACACUCAUUGGCACGAAAGCAAUUGGGGAGGAAGCGUCCUCAGCGCCCGCGGCCGAGCGCGGCCGGUCCCCGCGGUUCGCUGCCCCCGCGCCAUGGCGGCUGGUGCUCCCAGCCUGCGCCCACCAGGAUAGAAAAAGUGGUAGAGCAGAACCUGACCCUAAAAAGAAAGCCACUUUUAGGUCCAUCACCUCCACCCUGGCCUCCAGCUUCAAGAGACGUAGGUCCUCCAAGGAUACGCCCUGCAGAAUGGUCCCUCAGGAGUGCCAGAGAGACAGGCUGGCACCAUGGAGCCAAGACAGCCCUGGGAAGCUACCACCCCACUCUGAACGUCCUAGCGCCCACCAUCACCCGAGCUGCACAGCCUCUCCGCGGCACAUCAUCCCCACCGCCCCAGGAGGAGAUGCAUGUGUUCCCCAUAGGCAGCUCCUGCAACUCGAAUAGCACUCGCAGAGCUGACGUACUGCCAUCCAUCGCAGCCACCCACGAUACUGCAACCCCACAGAAGCCAUGUGAGACGCAUAAACCACACAGACACCUUCCGAGCCGGCACAUUUCGUACAGACACGUUACCGAGGUGCACAGGUCCCAUUAGCCCCACCACUGCAGCCAUCACCAGCGCCCGCAGAGCCACAUGCCAGCCUGCGGGUGUCCCCCCCCAGGGCACAGCAUGACACACGUCCCACGCCACCGCCAAGCGAGGGCCCGGUGCUGCCAUGGGGAUGGUGCCAGAGCUGGUCGAGAACCGAGGGGGUUCAUGGAAACAAAGGUCACCUUUUCAGUGAAGGAUCAGCCAUCCCAAAGCCAAACGCUUCUUGGCUGAGAACCAACCUAGUUUUGGGCCUAAAAGAACCAAAAGUAGGUCAAAGACAACUAAUUUACUCUUUUUUUUUUUAGAAGAAAGUUGAUGUUUUCUACAGCAAGAUUGCAUUUAGCUGGAAUUCUAAUUUUUAAUUGAAAAAAAAAAAAACCAAACAACUCCAAACUCCAAAAUUCUUCCAGAAAAUCUUCCACCAGCCAGGGACUACCAUAUAAGCCCAGAUUAGGUUGAAGUCAUUUUUAAAGACAUAUUAAGUUCUUGUCUAUAUUUUCUUCCUGGUUGUCAUUUAAAGUUUUUGGUGCCUUCACUUCACUUCCAUACCUUAACAUGUUUGAGUCUCUUCUACGGUUAAUAUUGAUUAAUUUCUUCGCUUUAUAAUGUUUGGUUUGGGGAUAAUUGCACCAUCCCUGUAACAUAAUUUACCCUAAAUUACUAAUAUGUGCUUCUAGCAUUAGUUCUACUUUAACAUGGUUUUGAUAUGGCAGUUUUCUUGCUUUUUUUUCAUUUUCUUUUCCUUUCUAUUUUUAUUUUUAGUUUUUAUUAUUAAAAAUUGCAUGCAUGAACUCUACACAAGAAAAAAAAAAGUAAAUGAGAAUGUUACCCUGUGAUAACUCUGUGAUUGGAGGAGAUAUGCUUUCAAAUCAAAAGCCAUGCUCUUGUAUAUUAAUUUUUCUGGCCAGAUUCCCCACUUGGAUUGGUUAUUUUAGCGUUUCCCACCCCCAGAGCUGUGCAGAGAGGCCAGAACGCCCCAACCUGCCCUGCUACACCUCCGAGCACCGCAGUCACACGUACAGCGCACCGAGACACACGCACACCCGCAUGCACACACCGCUCCCCCCUGCUUGCAUCAGGCAGGGUACUGAACAAAGGAGCUUUCUUCAGCCUGUUCCUUUUUGUACCUCGAGUUCCUCCUUCUUCUCCGGCAGUGAGUCACCAGCCUCUCCCCUUUCCCAGUCGCCUCUCCUCCCUGCGGGAAUCGAGCCCCGUCCUGCGAGCACACGCCUCCGGCCAUUUUGCCAUGGAAAAAGAAAGAUUGCGUUUAGCUGGAAUCCUUGUUUUUCACAAGGUGGGGGCAGCCACGCCCAUUUUUGGGGUGAAAGGGUCGUUUUUUGGUGGCUGACAAAUAACCCCAAAAAGCUCCCUCAGGGUGGCAGAGCGACUUCAGGUUCUCCUCGGCCGUUCUCCGUGCCAGCUGGUGACGGCCAAGGUAUUGCCCCUUAGCAAGGCAAAGCCACAGCAAGGAACAUCUCAGAAGCUCUGUUUUAAUAUUAGCUAGUGCCGUCAACGAUAGAAUGAUCCUGUGAGAUGCUCCCUGGUUGUCCCCAGCACAUGAACUGGAGAGAUAGGAGCGUGCUGGCUCACACUCCUGCCCCAGCAUCUCCCCACCAAGGUGUUCUGGUGAAGCACAAAACCGGGCAGAGCAGGGCAGCCCCAAGGACCCCACGCAACACCUAUGGGGACCCAGAGCUCCCGUGGCAGGAGUCAGGGUGCAGAGCCACACAGGGUAGCCACAGGGCCAGAGCCACCAGCAGCACUGUAGGGGCCACAGCCACCGCUGACCAUCGCAAGAUGGGUGAAAACCCAUCACCGAGGAGCCCACGGGGCCCAGCAGAACGGCAGCUCUCCUGAGUAGUGUGGUAGCAGAUGUCACUGGAGAGGGUCUACACUGCAGCACUGGAGACCCACUGAGACCCUUUUCCUGUCCUGACACCCACUGAGGUCCCCAGACAGCAGCAUAAGGUGCUCAGUGCCACCCGCUCUCACAGCAGGGCUGGACAGGGCUUCUUCCAGUUCAGGGUUUGGAGAGUGGAACAGGGAGAGGAAGGGAGUAUGGAAGGAGGAAGGGAGAAAGUAACUACCCAGUUGUAAAGCCCUGCCUGGAGAAGAAGGACUUCUCUUUCUCUUGCCCAUUGAAGGGUGUUGCUGCUCUCAUUCUUUGCUUGCUGGUGGGACUGCAGCUGGGGACAUUUCUCCCAGGGGGUAUUUGCCAACCCCCCCACCCACAAUGAGCGCAGAACCCCAGAUCCAAGCCACAUCCCCAACACAGGCUGUAUUGUCACAUUAGCAAUCGACACCACAGUUUGUCAAGAGUCACCCGCACCACACAUCUCACCUGUGUGAAAGGACAGUCAAAGCAGAGGCACUCGAGCAAGGAGGUGAAACGGCCUGGCCUCAAAGCACAGCUUGAUCUGGCACCAGAAUGAUGCCGAACCCCAGCCAGACCCUCCAAACACAGGUUCAGCCAUGGGCUGGGCUGCAAUAUCACCCCACCGACAUCACCGGCCAGCUCAACCUCUCCGACCCCUCAGUCAGCACUGUGGUGUGACCUUCUCCCCGAGGGCCAUCAGUCCUUCCCCCAACACAGUAGGAAGGCACAGCCAGGACUGCCUUUCAAAAGGGACACUGAUGGGUUCUUCUGGGUGAGAUGGGAGGAAAGCAUCCUUCAUCCAUACACAGUGACUUCAUUGUAUAUCUCCCACCCUUCCUAGGCCUGCUGCCAUGCUCGUGCCCCAGAAUGCACGGCAGAACCAGGACAUGGUUUGGACUUCACUUUUCAGAGAUAAUCGCUUCCAACCAGUGUUGUUGAUAAUCAGUAUUGCCACUGACCAGCUAUGAGCAAGGGGAAAGGCGCCUGGUGCCUGCUCUGCCAUGGUAGUAGGGAAGAGUUGGUGCCAACUACAAACAUGUGCUCCACUUUGCAGGCUUCAUGAAGGCUGCCCAGCACACACACAUGGGCCCUCAGACGUGUGCUCCAUGUCUCCAACCACCCUGGAGGGCUCCAGACCGACAUGCUCGUGAUCCAGACCAGGGGAGCAGCAGGUUGGGCGUGUGUUCCUGCUGUGCUGAGUGACCCCCCUCUGCAGCAGGGGCUGGAAGAUGCAUGCUGUGCUCCUCACCGGGGAUGAACCCCCUGCUCCUCCCUUCCAUCGGCCCAUGGCUAUGACUUGGCUCCUGUAUGUGGUCUGUUUGCAAGCAAGAGUGAUCCCAGCCCUGCAACCCAAGCUCCUGUGCUCCACAGUACUCUGGAGCUUGUAACAUGCUGUCAGCCAAGGUUCUGGCUCCCCAGCCUUCCUGCACAGAAGACAUCCCCAGGACCUGGCCAUGGCCUUCAUGUAGCUCUCACACUGUGGCUCUCCCUGCCAUGAACAUCUCCUCAGGGAUCAGCCCUGGAUGGUUGCAGUGACCUUCAGCCAAGCUCCACACUGCCUCAGCACCAGCAAUGCAAGGAGAGAUGUUGCUGGCCGGUCGUGGCUCGCAGUGUCGGUCACCACAGCAGUCACUGGCAGCUUCCCUGCCACACUUGCCUGCAGCUCAAGCUUGCCAGCAGCCCUGAAGCCCCAGCUCGUGUGGCUGCAUCUGCCUGAACCUGGAGAUGUGGAAGCCAGAUCCCAGUUCAGAGGAGAACCAAACAAGACCAGCUGACGCUGUUCCCCCCCCACACCUUCCUCCCCUCAAGCAUUGUGCCCAUGUGCCAGCAUCCCUGAGCACCCUCUCUGUGGGCUCUGUGAGUGGGUCCGGACAUACCAGCAUAGCAGAAGCAUCUGGCACCAGCCAGGCUGGUGAUGAGCAGCUACAGCAUGUGCAUGGGCAGCACCGCAUCCUGCCUCCUGCGAAGGAGGAAAACCCACCUGCAGCACGGUACCAAGCCCCAGUGGCAUGAACUGCCUUCUCCUGGUGCCAGCCGAGCCGAUGGGGCUCCCCCGAGGGCAGGCAGGGUUUUCAGAUGGCAGCUGAGGUCUGUGAGCAUCGUCCCACUCACUGCAGUGGCUCCAUCAAGUUCAUCUCGCUCCAGCUGAGCCAUUGGACCCAUUCUACUUUCUACGUUAAUGUAACAUUAAUACCAAGUUUUUGCAAGAGCUCAGUAAAGUCUAGACCGGAUCAUGAUGCUGUUUA